GAUGAACGCUAGCGGCAGGCUUAACACAUGCAAGUCGAGGGGUAUAGCUCUUCGGAGCUAGAGACCGGCGCACGGGUGCGUAACGCGUAUGCAAUCUACCUUUUGCAGAGGGAUAGCCCAGAGAAAUUUGGAUUAAUAACUCAUGGUAUGUGAGAAUGGCAUCAUUUCCACAUUAAAGCCACACCGGCAAAAGAUGAUAAUGCGUCACAUUAACUAGUUGGUAAGGUAACGGCUUACCAAGGCAACGAUGGGUAGGGGUCCUGAGAGGGAGAUCCCCCACACUGGUACUGAGACACGGACCAGACUCCUACGGGAGGCAGCAGUGAGGAAUAUUGGACAAGGGGGGCAAGCCUGAUCCAGCCAUGCCGCGUGCAGGAUGACGGUCCUAUGGAUUGUAAACUGCUUUUGUACAGGAAGAAACACUGGUUCGUGAACCAGCUUGACGGUACUGUAAGAACAAGGAGCGGCUAACUUCGUGCCAGCCGCCGCGGUAAUAC
rnacentral:rRNA from 1 species